GAAACAAUCCUUUAUUUUCCCGGCUUCUAAUUGUGUGGUAAAGAUAAAAUCAUGUGGUCAAAUAUGGAAGAUAAUUAACAUUGAGAUUGGGUUUUGAAUCUUUUUUUUGUUUGUUUGUGUUUCUUAAUUUAGGUUAAAUUACUGUGUUAACAAUAGAGUCAAGUCUUAAUCUUUUACCUGAUUGUUACAUCUAUUGGUACGAUGGAGUCGUAAGUUACUUGUUGAAUUGUUUCUGGUUAAUUUGGUCCUUGGUGUACAACAAAGGCAACAUGGUUCCAAGGUGGUGGAAGACGCUAGACGACCAAUCGAGGAACUAUUACUGUUGUUAUUGGUGGCAUUCACUUUUCUUUUGGCCUGUGAUGUCGAUAAAGUGGAAUGAGAUGAGUGUUGGUGCUGUUUGUUAAUUGAUUGUAUUGAUCCAUGGGUAUGGGAAUGAUAAUUGUUGUUAACUAGGGAUGACAGUGAAGGUGAAGAGGGAGAAGAAACUUGCUGGUGGUGUUGAUGGUUGGAUUGGCUUCUUAAAUCACACAAUGAACGAUAUCUAUUCAACGGAUUAUUUAACAUGGCCAAUCAAACAAAUUUUCAAUGGGUUGUUGUAUUAACAUGAACGAUGGACACAAGCAACAUGCAAGCUGAACAAACGUAGGAUAAAAAAACGCUGAAGUUGAACUAGUCGUUGAUCGUUUUGUAUUACAUUCAAUCAAAUUAUAAUCAAACUGACAGAUGGUGGCACCAAUUGGUUCAACAACACAAUGUUGAUGUAAACACAUACACUCUCGUGGACUGGCGUAGAUAACAAUAAAAGCUAACCAAUCUCCUGCAUUUCUUGAAAUAAUGUUAUACCAACAACUAACCCAGGUAAACUGAAAAGCAACCUACUUGUCGACUUUUCAUUCUCCCUCGACUCACUUCAACUCACCUUUAUUUUCCAUCUUUCAACUCCCUUUCCAUCAUCUUCUUUCUUCCUUCAUCUGCUUUUUAUUUUCAUCAUUUUACCUUCUUUCAUCUCUCGUUUCCUUCAACUUUUAUCUUCCUUUUUUCAUAUCUAUUACCGUCAAUCUGUUUCUCUCUUCCUUCCAUAGACCCGAAACUCAUUGUAAUUUCUUAAUUCCUUCCGAUUUUCAACCUUUAUUCAGGUAAAUCUCCAAUUGAUGGCAAUAUUUCCAUUCCAAUAUGCACCCGCCAGUUGACAAUCAAGGUUUCACCGUCACUUUAAAGACAAUCAACUUGCCGUGAUUUUUUUCAUCAAUCGUAAUUUAAUUUAACUCGCUGCUAUUAAUAAAUAUAUAUACUGUC